AUCAACCAUGUAGAAAAAUUUUCUUGUCCCAUUUUUAUUUCAAGGAUUGGAGGACAAGGUUGUGCCUCCAGAUCAAGCUCGGAAAAUUUACCGCGUUGAAAGAAAAGGGUGUCCCGGUGGCCCUUGUUGAGUAUGAAGGAGAACAACAUGGUUUCCGAAAGGCUGAAAACAUAAAGUUUACAC